UCCUAUGCGGAUGGGAUAACUUUUUAAAAGAUCCAUACCUACUUUAAAAAAGAUCUCCUACCCACAUGGGUGGGGGAGGAACGAUCAUACUCUUUUUUACAUCGCAAUAACCCUUUCAUAAUUUAAUUGUUUAGUGCUCAACGUUACGGAGACCUUUUCGUAAUUAAAGUAGAUAUGGUUUGCUGAUUGAUUGAUGGGUGGCUGCUAAGACGAGUCUGUCUCAGCCAAUCAAAUUUCAUUUCCCGCUCCGUUCUCAUAUUUAGUCCCACUCUGAAUUUUGCCUUAAAUCCCCCCCCCCCUCUCUCUCUCUCUCUCUCUCUCUA
rnacentral:lncRNA from 1 species